AGCAGCCGCGGUAAUUCCAGCUCCAAUAGCGUAUAUUAAAGUUGUUGCAGUUAAAAAGCUCGUAGUUGAAUUUUGGGUCUGGCCGGGCGGUCCACCUUCCGGUGAGCACUGUUCCGACGCCGGGCCUAUCCUUCUGGUGAGACGGCAUGCCCUUCGCUGGGUGUGUCGGGGAACCAGGACCAUUACCUUGAAAAAUUAGAGUGUUCAAAGCAGGCAUUUGCUCGAAUACAUUAGCAUGGAAUAAUGAAAUAGGACGCGUGGUACUAUUUUGUUGGUUUCUAGGACCGCCGUAAUGAUUAAUAGGGAUAGUUGGGGGCAUUAGUAUUCAAUUGUCAGAGGUGAAAUUCUUGGAUUUAUUGAAGACUAACUUCUGCGAAAGCAUUUGCCAAGGAUGUUUUCAUUAAUCAAGAACGAAAGUUAGGGGAUCGAAGACGAUCAGAUACCGUCGUAGUCUUAACCAUAAACUAUGCCGACUAGGAAUCGGGCGAUGUUAUUUUAACGACUCGCCCGGCGCCUUAUG
rnacentral:rRNA from 1 species